ACCUGAUGAGACAACCGCUGGCACCAGUCCGAGAAAGACUUGUACUCUUUUUGCUGCGGAUUAGCAUGCCGCAGGAUUCUAUACAAAUUCCUGCCUGAA
rnacentral:snoRNA from 1 species